UGGGGAAUUUUGGACAAUGGGGGCAACCCUGAUCCAGCCAUUCCGCGUGAGUGAAGAAGGCCUUCGGGUUGUAAAGCUCUUUUGUCGGGGACGAAACGGUUACGACGAAUACUCGUGACAACUGACGGUACCCGAAGAAUAAGCACCGGCUAACUACGUGCCAGCAGCCGCGGUAAUACGUAGGGUGCGAGCGUUAAUCGGAAUUACUGGGCGUAAAGCGUGCGCAGGCGGUUUUGUAAGCCAGAUGUGAAAUCCCCGGGCUUAACCUGGGAAUGGCAUUUGGGACUGCAAGGCUAGAGUAUGGCAGAGGAGACUAGAAUUUCUGGUGUAGCAGUGAAAUGCGUAGAUAUCAGAAGGAAUACCGAUGGCGAAGGCAGGUCUCUGGGUCAAUACUGACGCU
rnacentral:rRNA from 1 species